CCUACGGGCGGCAGCAGUGGGGAAUAUUGCACAAUGGGGGCAACCCUGAUGCAGCGACGCCGCGUGAGUGAAGAAGUAUUUCGGUAUGUAAAGCUCUAUCAGCAGGGAAGAAAAUGACGGUACCUGACAAAGAAGCCCUGGCUAACUACGUGCCAGCAGCCGCGGUAAAACGUAGGGGGCACGCGUUAUACGGAUAUACUGGGUGUAAAGGGAGCGUAGGUGGCAUGGUAGGACAGAAGUGAAAACCCAGGGCUCAACUCUGUGGAUUGUAUUUGGUACUACCAAGCUAGAGUGCUGGAGGGGUGAGCGGAAUGCCAAGUGUAGCGGUGAAAUGCGUAGAGAUGAGGAGGAACACCGGUGGCGAAGGCGGCUUACUGGACAGAAACUGACGCUGAGGCUCGAAAGCGUGGGGAGCAAACAGGAUUAGAUACCCUAGUAGUC
rnacentral:rRNA from 1 species